AAAGUUCCCAAAAUGUAUAUCCAAAAAGAGAAACCUUCACUUUCUCUUGCUCUUUCAUUCAUUUUCUUGCUCACAUUCUUCUUUCCCCCAAAAUCAUUAUUAGUAUCAAGUACUCAACAAAUUCAUGUUCACAAAAACAUCCAAAUUGCAAAUUCACAUUGCCAAGACACACUUUACCCUAAGCUUUGCAUUUCCACUCUUUCAUUAAUCCCAAAUCUUCAUAAAAAAUCAAUUCCAGAAAUCAUAUCUUCCAAUGUCAAUGUCACAAUGAAUGAAGUCAAAUCCUCUGCUGAAAAUUGCUCUAACAUACUUCACCAUAUGUCCAAAUUGGACCCUAUUGAGAAAAGGGCAUUAGAUGAUUGUAUUGAACUUUUAGGUGAUACAACUAUUGAUGAGUUACAAACAACUCUUAAUGAUCUUUCUACUAAAAAUAGUAGUAAUUCACCUUUAAAGCACUAUAAUGAUCUACAAACACUUCUUAGUGGUGCAAUGACAAAUCAAGAUACUUGUCUUGAAGGAAUUCACAAAAGUAAACACAAAUUGAGUCAAUACAUUGAGAAGAACUUGCAUACAAUAUCUCAUCAUAUGAGCAACUCUCUUGCCAUGCUUAAGAAGUUAAAGACAGGGUCGUCUCAAGGGUCGUCAUCAAACUCUAAUGAAGUCUUCCCCGAGUACGGCACCAUGAAGAAUGGGUACCCAAAAUGGUUGCAAAAAAAGGACCGGACCCUUUUACAAGCUCCGUUGAACCAAAUUAAGUUCAAUUUGGUUGUGGCUAAAGAUGGUAGUGGUAAUUUUACUACUAUUAAUGCAGCGUUAAGUGCUGCACCAAAUUCUUCUAGUACAAGAUUUGUGAUUUACAUCAAGGCGGGAACGUAUUUCGAAUAUAUUGACGUAGAAAGAAAGAAAAGUAUGAUAAUGUUCAUCGGAGAUGGGAUCGGAAAAACAGUAAUAAAGGGUAAUCGGAACGUCGUAGAUGGAUGGACUACUUUCCGAUCA
rnacentral:misc_RNA from 1 species